UCUUGCAUAAAUAUAAGAUUUUUGACAUUAUUUUUAAUAUUUUUGAAUUUUUUUGUCACUUUUUGACUUUUUUGGCUGGACAUCAGUCCCUCUUCUUUUAGCCUUCUACAAAUGGUCCGGUCUGACACAACUAUUACAGCUUCAUGGGUAAGCUUAGUGGCUUUUUUUCUGUUUUACAGGCAGAUAUUUCUGAUUAUACUGUCCGCUCUUGGUGUUUUCUUGCGCUUAGAAGGUGGUCUCCUUGGACCAAACUCUUUCCCUGUAUCAAUUCUUUUUCUUACUUGCAUUACGGUUUGGUACGAAACCUUUGCGGUUUGUGCAAUUUUUCAUUGAGAAUAAUUUGUAUUUUGGAAAAGACAUUUAAAACUUACUUUUAUUAUAAGUAGGAAACCAAUAUAUUCCUCCAGAAAGUUGAUCACCAGAUUGUCUUUCCAGAAUAACUAACAAAGAAUGACAAAUCACCAGGGGCUAAACACCCCUUUGCCCCCUCAGGACAGCCCUGGGGAACAUGGGUGAAAGAAUUUUUAUUGCUUUAAAUAUUUUAGCUGCAAAUAUUACUGAUAGACCAAUAGUGAAUACUGAAGUUUCCAUUUCUAAUGAUAGUAUUGGUGUUAAAACUGCUCCUGCCAUUUCACCAUCGACAUCAUUUAAUUUAUGAGAAAGGGCUCCUGUGAAUUUACCAUCAAUAUUAUUUAUUGUUUUACCUAAAUAAUAUGACCUCUUUCCAAAGCCAGGUUAAGAAUAACAACUAAUACAAAAAAACACAUAAUAGAUGUAAAAGAAAAUUGCAUAUUUUAACUGAUACACCUAAAAUAACAAAACAGAUUAUCUUAGUUUUUAAAUGAUGAAAGUUCUGAUGAAAUUUAUUUUGGAGUAAAUAUACUUACUUUAAGUAAAAUUUUUCUGAGUUUUUUAAUCAUCAAGUUGGCCGAAAUAAAAUAGAUAAAGCUAGAUAGAGCCUUGAUAAAGCCUAGAGGCUUUAUUUAGCAGAAGUUAUAGAAGUUGUUGGUAUAGUUUACAAAAUUAAGUAUUAUAAGAAAUCAGGAGACAUUUGUAAUAAAUUUAUAUGAGACGAUGACGAUUUUACCAUUCUACAGAAUUUAAAUAUACAUUAUUUCUUCUAAAGCUUGUUUCUAAUAAUAAAAAUUAAUUUUUAGUUUAACAGGUGUUUCGUUUUUCUUAUAUUUAGUGUAUGACAGCAUGCAACCUUAAUCAAACUUUUAACCUGACAAAGUGUCUCAUAACUUGUAAAAAAAUUUAGAAAAAUAAAUUGAAAUUUCGUGCCACUACUGACAUGUCACAUGUUAUUGUAUGUAAAGAUUAAAUUUUUGUUAUGAGAACUACAGUUCUUAUGAAAGAAAAAGUGCUGUGAAUUGGUAAACGUGUUAAGCAAGAUUUGUCAACCUUGCCAGCCAAGUCACUUACUGCAAAGGGUUACAAAGCAGUGUUUCGUUUCAAACUGUUACUGCUUUAGGUCUAGGUGUUUUCAAGCCUUUAUUAAUAAUUACUCUGAAAAUACAUAAUGUAUUUUAAUAACAUUUUGCGUAAUGUUGUUACUGAUGUUCUGUUAUAUAUGAAUGUUAUGUUUCUUAAUUUAUGUUAUAUGCAUAUUAUAUGAACUUAUGGUGAAUACUAUUGUUGUUGUGAUGAUGCUUUUUUGUAAUCUUUUGAGUUGAUAUACAUUUGGUUUACCUUCAAGUUGUUGUCUACUGUUAAAAAUGAUACAUAGUUAAUUUCAUUAUUAGACCUCACUGCAUUUAAUCAUUCACUAAAAUUAAUAUUUAGAUUCACUAAAAGCCUACUACUACUCUGGUAAAUCACUUCAGCUUUAUCAGAAUUUAGAAAAAUGAAUUAAACUACAACUUUUGAACAGUCAUUGUUUGUGAAGUUGCCUUUGUUAUCACUUGAUUAGUUUGCUUACUGUUGAAACAUGGUUUUAAUUUUGUAAAUUUAAUGAUUUGAAAUUUACUCUAUUAAUUGUUAGUUGACAGUUAAAGAGAAGCUGGAGCUUUACAUAAUAAAGGCAUUAGAAGGCUUUACUUGACUUUCUUUUUAUGGUACCUGCUGUGUUGUAACAGAUCUUAAAAAGAACUUUACGGAUGUUAACGUAGUCUUUUUUGUUGGUAACCGUUGUUGACCAACGGUUUAUAAUCAAAAUUUAAUAUGGCUGGCGGUAAAGGUAAAGAGAAGUUUAAAGGAACAAACACUAGAGAGCGUUUUGUCAAUUAAAGUGACUGCUACAGUUACCGAAAUAAGAAAAGGAAUAAUGACUUUAUUAAAAUACGCACUCGACAGAUCAAAUGGUGGUGAUCGGCGCGUAAAAGGCAAUUCAUCCGAUGUAUAACAUUCAUACUUUUUCCUAGUUGUUCUGGAACUAUUGAUAAUAGUUAUUAUUGAUAAAUUGAUAAAUAUAUUACUGAUAAAUAAAA